CUGCAGAUACGGUGACAUGGUUCCUAACACGAUCGCAGGGAAGAUCUUCGGCUCCAUCUGCUCCCUGAGCGGCGUUCUGGUCAUCGCGCUGCCCGUCCCGGUCAUCGUGUCUAAC
rfam:Xiphophorus maculatus strain JP 163 A Contig1282.3, whole genome shotgun sequence.